UCUUAAUAUAUUAGCAAAUUUUAUUUAUUGUGGAGUGGUGUAGAGUAGAGACAGUUAGUUCUCUAUUUUUCCUGUUAUGUUUUUAAUUGUUCUUGCUUCAAGAUUCAGUACGAAAGGAUAAUUCAAGUCAUCUCAGGUAAAUUAAGUGCGAUAUUAUUUGAAGAAAGGUAUAACUCAACAGAUGCAGCGCUGACGCCAUAAUGGGGCAACACAUAAGAAGCAUUAGAAUGGAAAACUUAGCCAUGUAAACAAGGAUUCCUGUGACAAUCCAGAUCAUAAGAACAGAUGUUAAAGCACCAAUGACUUCCGCUCGGUACCAUCCAAACGGCAUGCUUUGCGUAGGAGGCCUGUUGGCUACCCACAGUGCAAACAACGAUAUCAUAAAACUGGCGAAAUCAGUAAGCAAAUGAGCCGCAUCAGUGGCAAUUGCUAAACUACUUGAUAAAUAGCCACCUAUUAGAGCAACAUACAGAAACAAGUAAGUAUUAGAAGAACAACAAACACGAUUGAUAAAAAAAAUGUUAUUUAUUAGCAUUUUCUCUGCUGUACUUUUGAUACAAUAAAACAACUUGAUUAAUUAA